UACAGAGGGUGCAAGCGUUAAUCGGAAUUACUGGGCGUAAAGCGCGCGUAGGUGGUUCGUUAAGUUAGAGGUGAAAGCCCGGGGCUCAACUCCGGAAUUGCCUUUAAGACUGCAUCGCUAGAAUUGUGGAGAGGUAAGUGGAAUUCCGAGUGUAGAGGUGAAAUUCGUAGAUAUUCGGAAGAACACCAGUGGCGAAGGCGACUUACUGGACACAUAUUGACGCUGAGGCACGAAAGCUAGGGGAGCAAACGGG
rnacentral:rRNA from 1 species